UUCCGGUUGAUCCCGCCGGAGGCUACCGCUAUUGGAGUUCGAUUAAGCCAUGCGAGUCGCGAGUCUUAGGGACUCGGCGUACCGCUCAGUAACACGUGGGUAACCUGCCCUAUGCUGGGGGAUAACCUCGGGAAACUGAGAAUAAUACCCCAUAGUUCACCACGCCUGGAACGGUGGGUGGAUCAAAGCUCCGGCGGCAUAGGAUGGGCCUGCGGCGUAUCAGGUUGUAGGGGGUGUAAUGUACCCUCUAGCCCUCUACGCGUACGGGUGUUGAGAGACAUCGCCCGGAGAUGGAUUCUGAGACACGAAUCCAGACCCCACGGGGUGCAGCAGGCGCGAAAACUUGGCAAUGCGAGAAAUCGUGACCAGGGAACUCCAAGUGCAUCGGGUAAGACCGAUGCUUUUCUUGACUCUUCAAAGGUCUUGGAAUAAGGGGUGGGUAAGGACGGUGCCAGCCGCCGCGGUAAUACCGGCGCCCCAAGUGGUAGUCGCUUUUAUUGGGCCUAAAACGUCCGUAGCCGGUCUGGUACAUUCGUGGGUAAAUCAACCAGCUCAACUGGUUGAAUUCUGCGAGCACGGCCAGACUUGGGACCGGGAGAGGUGUGGGGUACUCUCAGGGUAGGGGUAAAAUCCUGUCAUCCUGAGAGGACCACCUGUUGCGAAGGCGCCACACUAGAACGGAUCCGACGGUCAGGGACGAAGCCUAGGGGCACGAACCGGAUUAGAUACCCGGGUAGUCCUAGGUGUAAACGCUGUGGACUUGAUGUUGGGGGCGCUCCGAGCGCACUCAGUGUCGAAGCGAAGGUGAUAAGUCCACUGCCUGGGGAGUACGGUCGCAAGGCUGAAACUUAAAGGAAUUGGCGGGGGAGCACCGCAACCUGAGGAUUGUGCGGUUUAAUUGGAUUCAACGCCGG
rnacentral:rRNA from 1 species